GUCCCAACCUGAAGUUUCCAGUUGAAGGAGUGUUAUUUCUUUGUCCUCGGGGCCAUCUUUUCUAGGAAAAAGAUUAACCCUAUAUCGGGGACCUGGCCAAAACCCCCAGCUUCCUGUAUGAGCGGUACAGUGAAAGGAUGAAAUAAGAAACAGUCAAAUUUAGUAAUGCAUGAAGCCGGGCUGAGAGGUCAGUGCCUACGGAUGGGCAGCGACAAAGGCGCUCCAAACCAGCCACUCUUUAUUGGGUGUAUAUAACGGUAGGAGGGUUUAGCAGAAGACUGAAGUUUGGGGGAAGACGCAGACAUCGAUGACUCAGCGGGCAACGGAUAACUUGGGGUGACUGAAGAGGGUGGAGGUGACCUUAUGCUAAGAAGGAUCUUGCUCUGCAGUGUUUUUUAAUCUUAGUGGUCUUAGUUUUAGUCGUAGUGGGUGGCAGAGGAUGACCCAUCCCUAAAGAGGUAAUGGGAAAUCUCAGAAGGGUGAUGCCAGUAAUCCCAAGCCUCCAUUUAUCCCUUAGGGAAGUAUGCAGAAUUAGCCAUUGUGAAUUUGUAGUCCUCAACAAUCCUAGGAGGAGGUGUUCCUGACCUGGGACUUUUUAUCCUUUUUCAGGGCGGGGACAAGAACCAACUCUUGUCUCUCCUGUCUAAAGAGACUAGGAUUUGAUUCAUGACACUACAUCCAGAGCCAUGAAGGACUCUGUUCAUGGAGGUAUUGUCUUGAAAGUUUGGAGAGGUGAGAAUUCAGAAGACAUCAGGAGGAUGUGGAUCAAUAUGCUCAGGCCGCACAGGGAAUCUACCUAAGUGGAGAAUGAGUAUGAUGGAUAAAUUUCUGGGGGAAAAGAAAACACUAGAUCAGAAGCUAACAAUAAAUUGUAAUAGAUCAGUGGGGUAGAAAUGUACACAUCUACCGAAGAGAGAACAUCCUGUACAAGUUUCUUAUGAUUGUAUCGGAAUCAAAAAUGAACAAAUUGGUGUUUUCAGAACAUGGAUUUCCCUGAUUUGCUUCAAAGAGCAUCCAUUUACCAAAACAAAUGUGAUCUGCAAAGUAGAGUAAGGAUGAGAGCUAUGGAAGGUGCAAAAAAGAUUCUACGUGGGAGCUAUGCAGAAGUUGUCUGCCUACUUGAGCUAGAGAGAAAGAAAAGAAGCAAAGAGAAUUUUCUGAACCAAGAUACAUUUACCAUCCUGAAAACACUAAGGAGGAAGUCCAAAAUUGUAACUGGAGCAUGAGUAAUAUUUCUUCAAGACAAACAACAUAAAGACGAAUCAAAUGGAAAGAGUUUUCAGUCUAAUUUAUGCUAUCAAUUAUAGUAAGAUGUAUUCUGGAGAAAAUGGUUAUGAGCACAAAGAAUGUAGAAAUGUCUUCCAAAACAUGUUUCAUCUCAUUAGACCUGAAAAAAAAAAAAGCACAACAUAAUAAAGAUUUGAAUGUAGUCAAUGCAGGAAAGCCUUAAAAAAGGAGUCUCAGCCGAGUGUUGUGGCACACCCCUGUAAUCCCAGCACUCAGGAGGCUGAGGCAGGAGGAUCGCUGUGAGUUCGAGGCC